rnacentral:RNase_P_RNA from 1 species
UCAGACGGUCGGGCGGUCGCGGCGUUUCGGCGUCGAGGAAAGUCCGGGCUCCACGGCGAAAAGGCGGCGGGUAACGCCCGCCCGGGGUGACCCGAGGGAUAGCGCCACAGAAAGCAAACCGCCCCGAUUUCGGUCGGGGUAAGGGUGAAAGGGUGGGGUAAGAGCCCACCGCGGACCUGGCGACAGGGACGGCAUGGCAAGCCCCGCCUGGAGCAAGACCGAAUAGGGACACCGCACACCCUCGGGUGUAGGGCUCGCCGGCCCGAGGUGUCCGGGUAGGUCGCGAGAACCGUCCAGCAAUGGACGGUCCAGAGGAAUGACCGUCACCCGCUUGCGGGGACAGAACCCGGCUUACAGACCGUCUGACAUU